UCCUACGGGGGGCAGCAGUGAGGAAUAUUGGUCAAUGGACGAGAGUCUGAACCAGCCAAGUAGCGUGAAGGAUGACUGCCCUAUGGGUUGUAAACUUCUUUUAUAUGGGAAUAAAGUUUUCCACGUGUGGAAUUUUGUAUGUACCAUAUGAAUAAGGAUCGGCUAACUCCGUGCCAGCAGCCGCGGUAAUACGGAGGAUCCGAGCUGUAUCCGGAUUUAUUGGGGUUAAAAGGAGCGUAGGUGGAUUGUUAAGUCAGUUGUGAAAGUUUGCGGCUCAACCGUAACAUUGCAGCUGAACCUGGCAG
rnacentral:rRNA from 1 species